rnacentral:rRNA from 1 species
AUCGAUGAAGAACGCAGCGAAAUGCGAUAAGUAAUGUGAAUUGCAGAAUUCAGUGAAUCAUCGAAUCUUUGAACGCACAUUGCGCCCCCUGGUAUUCCGGGGGGCACACCUGUUCGAGCGCCAUUACAUCCCUCAAGCCAAGCUUGGUGAUGGGCUCCGCCCGCGUGGCGGGCCCGAAACUCGUGGGCGCCCCUGAUCGGACUCCAAGCGUAGCAAAACCCUCGCUUGCGGACGACCGGUCGGAGGCCGCCCCGGACCCCAAAAUUUUACAAUGGUUGGCCUCGGAUCAGGUGGGGAUACCCGCUGAACUUAAGCAUAUCAAUAAGCGGAGGAAAAGAAACCAACAGGGAUUGCCUCAGUAACGGCGAGUGAAGCGGCAACAGCUCAAAUUUGAAAUCUGGCUCCUUCGGGGUCCGAGUUGUAAUUUGUAGAGGGUGCUUCGAGUGAAGCCCCGGCCCAAGUCCCUUGGAACAGGACGUCAGAGAGGGUGAGAACCCCGUGUCCGGCCGGCGGCGCUCCUCAUGUGAAGCCCCUUCGACGAGUCGAGUUGUUUGGGAAUGCAGCUCUAAAUUGGUGGUAAAUUCCAUCUAAAGCUAAAUACCGGCCAGAGACCGAUAGCGCACAAGUAGAGUGAUCGAAAGAUGAAAAGCACUUUGAAAAGAGAGUUAAAAAGUACGUGAAAUUGUUGAAAGGGAAGCGCUUGCGGCCAGACUUGCCCGCGGAGGUUCAGCCCGUCUUCUGGCGGGUGCACUCCUUCGCGGUCAGGCCAGCAUCGGUUUGGGCGGUCGGACAAAGGCCUUGGGAACGUGGCCCCCUCCGGGGGGUGUUAUAGCCCUGGGUGCAAUGCGGCCAGCCCGGACCGAGGAUCGCGCUCUGCUAGGAUGCUGGCGUAAUGGCCGUAAGCGGCCCGUCUUGAAACACGG